rnacentral:rRNA from 1 species
UGCCAGACUCCUACGGGAGGCAGCAGUGGGGAAUAUUGCACAAUGGGGGGAACCCUGAUGCAGCGACGCCGCGUGAGUGAAGAAGUAUUUCGGUAUGUAAAGCUCUAUCAGCAGGGAAGAAAAUGACGGUACCUGACUAAGAAGCCCCGGCUAACUACGUGCCAGCAGCCGCGGUAAUACGUAGGGGGCAAGCGUUAUCCGGAUUUACUGGGUGUAAAGGGAGCGUAGACGGCGAUGCAAGCCAGAUGUGGAGGCCCGGGGCUCAACCCCGGGACUGCAUUUGGAACUGUAUAGCUAGAGUGUCGGAGAGGCAGGCGGAAUUCCUAGUGUAGCGGUGAAAUGCGUAGAUAUUAGGAGGAACACCAGUGGCGAAGGCGGCCUGCUGGACGAUGACUGACGUUGAGGCUCGAAAGCGUGGGGAGCAAACAGGAUUAGAUACCCCAGUA